AAUCAACGCUGGCGGCGUGCCUCAGACAUGCAAGUCGAACGAUUAAAGCUCUCUUCGGAGAGUGUAUAGAGUGGCGCACGGGUGAGUAACACGUAAGUAAUCUACCUUUGAGUGGGGAAUAACAUCGGGAAACCGAUGCUAAUACCGCAUAAUGCAGCGGCAUCGCAAGAUGACAGUUGUUAAAGAUUUAUCGCUUGAAGAGGAGCUUGCGGCAGAUUAGCUAGUUGGUAAGGUAAUGGCUUACCAAGGCUACGAUCUGUAACCGGUCUAAGAGGACGGUCGGUCACACUGACACUGAAUAACGGGUCAGACUCCUACGGGAGGCAGCAGUCGGGAAUUUUGGGCAAUGGGCGAAAGCCUGACCCAGCCAACGCCGCGUGAAGGAUGAAGUAUUUCGGUAUGUAAACUU
rnacentral:rRNA from 1 species